CUUUUCCCUCCUGCUGGGGUGGAGUUCCUGCUGUUGUGUUUGUGUUUAUGCUACUCACUCAUCACUCAGCGCAGAGAACUCCACACCUGGCAGGGCCCAGCACAUCCCCUGGCUCUGGGAUGAGAUUUGUCCUUUCUCCCUACGAGGAAAAGCCUUCAGGCUCUGCUCUGAGUUCCUCCUGCUCCAGGAAAAUCCUCGGGAAAGAGGGCUGGAGCUGGCCUGAGAGCUACAGAAGGUGCUGCUGCUGCUGGGAUCUCCUCCUGGAGACCCCCAAGGAUCCCAUGGACCCACCAAACACCCCCUGGAGCAGCAGGACACCAACCCUGGUGCUCAGGGACUCCUCUCACAGCCCUGGGGAUGGAGCAGGAGCCCAGAGCUCCCUGGGGAGGCUGGAGCUGUUCCCUGGCUCCCAGAUUUUCCCUGGGAGCUGAGUGCCAGGCACUCACCUGGCUGCAGAGCCCCCAGCAUCCCCUCCCAGCCCAGGCUGUGUUUGUCUUGGCAGGGAGCAGCGCUGUGGACACAGCUGCAGGAUUUGUUUUGUCUCUCCCACAAGCCUGGCUCAGCCAAAUCUCUGCAGGCUUUGUGAAAAUGCUCCUUUCUGACAAGAAUUUUAUACAAACGGCCCCAAAGUCUGCCCUGCUCAGCCCCUGCCUCUUCCCCUCUCCACACACACAGAGGACACUUGGAUUUUCCAGCUUUCUCCAGAAGAUUCUCUCAGGAAUUUCCAGCUCUCUGCUCACACAACAUCUGGAUGGAUUUGGGAUCCCAGCACCUCAGGCCCCAGUGAGGGAGAAAAGCCAAAAAUGAGCGGCUCAGACUCCAGCAGAGGCCUUGGAGGGGCUCACCUGCAGCCCGAGCUCCGGGAGGUGCUUUGGGAUUCCCGGGAAUUCUGCACAGCCCGGUGGGAUUGGGUGGAUUGAAGGAGCCAGCAGAGCCCAGCUGCCGCUCCUGCCUCACCCCCUGAGCCACACGGAAAAAUCCCAGGAAAGGCAGGGCCAGCCCAGUCCUGGGAGAUUGGAGCUGGAAAAUCAGGACAUUUCCAGCUGCUCUGAGCUCAGGUCUGGCAGCUCAAAAUCGGCUCCGUGUUUCGGAUCCGGGCCACUCCAAGAAUCCCACGGGAGCUGGGAGUGUCCAUCAGAGCCAGCGGGAAAAGGAGGAAUUCCCUGGCUCAGCCAAAG
rnacentral:lncRNA from 1 species